CCUUGAAAUGGGCUGAGUCCCUCUUGCUCACCCUUGACUUGGAAAAACCAGUUUCUCUUUUAUUGUCUGUUACUAUACUAAUCUCUGUUCUAAAAAUUCAGCUCAAUUCUCAACCAUACUCCAAACUCUGUCCUUUCCGGCUACCUUUACUCCCUCUCCUUCAAUUCCACUUUCCUCUGCUUUCAUUUUUUUUUUUUUUUUUUAAGGGUCUCACUUUGUCACCCAGGCUGGAGUGCAGUGGUGCAAUCUUGGGCUCACUGCUGCGUCAACCUCCCAGGUUCAAGCGAUUCUCCUGCCUCAGCCCCUCAAGUAGCUGGGACUACAGGCGCACACCACCACGCCUGACUAAUUUUUUGUAUUUUUUUGUAGAAGCGCAGUUUCACCAUGUUGCCCAGACUGUUCUUGAAUUCCUGAGCUUAAGCAAUCCACCUGCCUCGGCCUCCCAAAGUGUUGGGAUUACAGGCAUGAGCCACUGCAUCCAGCCUCAUGUUCUUUUUCAUUAAAGAGAGAAAUCAACUAUUCAGGACCGGCCCCCACCUUUCCUCAGGAGCCAUUUCUGUUCUGCACAGGCCUGCUGAACUGGGUGCUUUAUAUGGGACAUUGUCAUCUCUCAAGUACCCAUCUUGGAGGGUAUGGACCCCACAUGAGGAAAGGACCAGCCACACCGAGCUCAGUUAUGGCACACACAGUGGGACCUACACAAAGGGAGGGGGUGACCAGCAUCCCAACUAGAUUUCAGUGGAGUGAAGUUCAGGAGGCAUGGAGCUGACGACGAUGAGGCCUUGGCAGUCA